UACAGAGGUCCCAAGCGUUGUUCGGAUUUACUGGGCGUAAAGGGCGCGUAGGCGGCGCAACAAGUCACUUGUGAAAUCUCCGGGCUUAACCCGGAGCGGCCAAGUGAUACUGUCGUGCUAGAGUGCGGAAGGGGCUACUGGAAUUCUCGGUGUAGCGGUGAAAUGCGUAGAUAUCGAGAGGAACACCUGUGGCGAAAGCGAAUCUCUGGACAGUUCCUGACGCUGAGGCUCGAAGGCUAGGGUAGCGAAAGGG
rnacentral:rRNA from 1 species